rnacentral:rRNA from 1 species
GACGUAGGGCGCGAGCGUUGUCCGGAUUUAUUGGGCGUAAAGAGCUCGUAGGCGGCUUGUCGCGUCGUUCGUGAAAACCCACAGCUCAACUGUGGGCUUGCGGUCGAUACGGGCAGGCUAGAGUUCGGUAGGGGAGACUGGAAUUCCUGGUGUAGCGGUGAAAUGCGCAGAUAUCAGGAGGAACACCGGUGGCGAAGGCGGGUCUCUGGGCCGAUACUGACGCUGAGGAGCGAAAGCUAGGGGAGCAAACGGG